GAAUAUGAGUAUGGGCUAUAUUUUGACUUUAUGCCCAGAAAUUAACUUUGCCCAUGUUUAUAUAGGUAUCCAAAGCAUCCAAAUGAACAGGAAAUAGCACCUCAGUACUUUUAGUUUAGUUGAUGAUACUGUUGUGGUUUGUGAGUGAUGAUAUUUGCAAAAUAGAAGCAUGAAGAUUGAACAGUUGCAAAUGUCCCAGAAGUGUUUUAUAAUUGGGACUGUGUGGACACGUGGGCAGCGUGGAGAAAUGGAUCAGCAUACAGUGCAGCAUUUUCCUAAAGCCACACUUGUGUUGGUAGCGCAGAGUCAAAAGUCAAUUUUGCUCCUAAGUGAGGUGGCUCUGAUUCAGAAGAAAGGCAGGAAUCAGCGUGUCAUCUUCUGGUAGUAGAUGUCUUUUUAAUGUCUUCCUUCUCUGGCUACAGCAGAGAUCGUGACAAAUUGAACUGACUUUUUUCAAGUCCUGUUCUUGCAAAGCAAUUAGAUUUUAACAUCUGCAUUAGCUCUUCCCUUGGCUUACCGUUCCAGAUUUCUACUUGAAGUCUUUAUUUCUCAGAUACUAGGCUGUGAUUGAUAAUUAAAUCGUUGCGAGUGCAGUAUGAGUCAUGUGAAACAGGGUCAGAAUACAUAAAUUGUAUCUGGAGAGCACAACAUUUACUCAAAGAGAACUAACACAGAAACAGCAGCAAAAAGCCCAUUGCAGUUAACCACACAAUUCACUUGCUCCCAGUAUACUGGCACAGACUUGGCAUGGACAGCACAGCAUCACCCCGCAAAGGCCCCUGGAACUGGAGUGUAUUGGAGACACGGCCAGCAUUGUUCCAAAAGCUCAGCUAUUUCUGAGCCUCUGACUGAACAGCAGAGUAGUUCAAUUUGCUGUGUCCCUGGAACAGCCUUUUGGCAGGAUGCAGUGUAUCCUUCCUUUCUCCCCAUUCCUGCAGCUUUUGCACCUGAGUCAGAAUUUAUGGGUUUGAAGUUUCUGCUCUCUGGACUGACUCCUUUUCCUCAUCUGAAAAGGGAAAUUGAGCAGUAAAUGUUUUCCUUUAGUUUGUGGAAUUUUCCUCUUAUAACCUGGCAAAUCCUGGUUUGAAUUUUAUGUUAAAGGAAAAUACUGCAGGUCAUCAUCUGUAACUGUUUCUUGAUUACUUGGUAAAUUAAUAACAGACACGCAACUCCAAGUUAGCUUACCCACAUGACUGAGCUAAGAAAAUAGAACAAGUGUUGAAUGUGUGACUUUAAGAUUUGGGGGAGGGAUAGAUAACCUAAGAAAUUUCCUAAAUUCAUGUGUGCUGAUUUGUGCAAAUGCAGUGCCAGCUGGAUACAACUUGAGAUGUACAGUUGCAAGUUUGGAUCCCAGCGUUUACAAGAAGUUCAUAAAAACGUCUUAACCUUAGCAAAGGACAGCUAUUAAAGAGCUCUUCUCUUGUCUUCUUGCAUAUUUACUGCAGCACUUCUCUGCCUGGAUUAAAGAAAAAACUGCAGCUUCCAAGCUUUUGAUUACAAAGUAACUUAGCACAAGUCAGUUAUUGCUGUGGUCCUCAAAAGCUUUAAAGCUUGCCAUGUACCAAAGCUCUAUUUAACACUGCACACCUAAUGAGAGUUAACACUGUAUUAUUAUUCAUCAUUUGUAAGCAAGUUAAUAAAAUCUUUGAUAUGUGAAUAUGUUUUCAUCUUAGAAGUUUUCCACAGUUCCUAACAUGGCUUAAGUUGCCCUAUUUUCACUUGAAUUAAGGCUUAAUCAGAAAGAUGUGCUCUUUGCCUUACAACCUUACCCUGCCUUACUGUGAGAUGGUGGUAAAGUUGGGGAUACCGCUAAUGGUAAAAAUAAGCAUUUGCCUUUAAGUCUGGCAAUUUUAAGGUAAAAUUUAAGCUUUGUAGAGACAGUACAAAGGACUAAAGCAAAAUAUUCAACUUGAACUAAUUAGAGUUACUAAAUCACUGUCUAUGUAUACCUUGGAUAUUAAGUGUAAUUUUGGUUUCUCUAAGCUUGGAAAAAACCUCCAAAAGCAUUAGGAAGCAGGAUUUAAAAAACAAACAAAACAAAAACACAUGAACCUAGAAACCUGCAAUAGCCAUAACAUUUGCAGAAAGCAAGGCAGUUUCCUGCUUAAAUGAAUUCCGAAGAUAACAUACAUGGAGACAGACUUGCCAGACUGAAUUCUUAGUUAAGCUAAGUACAACGGGCAUUGCAGAAGUUGUGUUUAUGCUGGCUUGGUGCAUGUUUGCAGAAGGCAGCUCUUCGUUUAGCUUUAAGCAGAAUUUCAAGCAGUCCUAAAACUUGGUUGGAAAGCACCAUUAUGUGUACAGUUGUUUCAAAGUAGUUCUUCCAGCCCAGCAUGUGCUCAUCAGUAAGAGGUACUUAGUUUUCUCAGGUUAGCAAGCUUUGACUUGGGAACUACAUUAAUUUGAAGGUCUGGCUUUGGUGACUAUUGGUGCUUGUUUGAUGCUAAAUUAUGAGAUAGACUAGUUUAAUUCUGUACAAAUUACACACACUGCAUCAAGCCUUGGGUAUGAGGCACUGGAAAAGGUUGCCCAGAGAUGUUGUGGAUGCCCCGUCCCUCGGAGUGUUCAAGGCCAGGUUAGGUGGGGCUCUGAGCAACCUGGUCUGACAGAAAGUGUCCCUGCCCAUGGCAGGGGAGUUGGAACAAGAUGGCCUUUAAAAUUCCUUCCAACCCAAAGCAUUCUAUAACUCUAUGUGCAGUUCUACUCACAGUUCAUGGGCUUUUUCAGGCCUCCAGCCGGUCAAGACUUAGGCUAUGUCUUCAUUAUAUCUGCAUUCUAUGUCUGCAGUAGGGGCAGAGCUGGAGAGCAAUAUGGUUGGUGCUGAGACCUUGACACCUCUGAAGUUUUUAUUUCAGCCUAGAAAUAAAAAAACACCUUUUCUAUUCCAGCCCAGACCCUGGUCUGGUCCAGUUGAAUACCCAAUAAACAGGAUGACUGCAGCUAGAGGCAUUCCAAGAGCUAUUUCUUGCUUGAGUUUUGCUGUAAAUGAAUCCAGUUUUGUGCACUGAGAACACUGCAUAAACAAGCCAAUCAUGACAAAUGGUCUGCUGGCUUGGAAAGCAUAGAAGAGCUCUUCGUUAAAUAUUAAAGUAACUAAAAACAAUGUUUUAUAUCCUCAGUGCAGUGUUCCUGCUGGUUUCCAUUUUCAAAGUGUUAAUUCACAGAACCCUUAAGGUCAGUCAGUACAUAUAAUAAUCUUGAAACAGUUAUUCUACGUUCUGCUCCCCCCUUUCUCCAGGUGCACAAGUCUUUUUGAUGUCAUAUCCAAGAGAGCCAUCACUAAAAUUAUUAUGGUUGCAUAGCAACCUCAAUGUGAUAAAUAACUGGUUUAAGACAGUCUUUACCUGUGUAUUUCUUUUCCAGCAGGAGCCGAACAGUUUCCUACCACUGAACUCUUAUGAACAAAACUCUUGAAGAAAAACAUAUGCAGUGUUUUAUGACUAAAGAGGUUUCUUUAUUCAAAUAUCUUGUUAUUUCUAGGCACUGUCACCAAAUUACUGCACCAAGUUAUCUUCAAGUAUGCAGUAUUCCAGCAUUGUAACUUCUCUGCAAACAGAACACCAAGCCCUAUCUUGUCUUCCCUGCUUGGAUCAUCAGUUAAAAGCACAACAGAAAUAUUCUAAGUAUGAAGGUAGAAAUGAACUAAUACUAGUAAUCCAGCUGUAAUUUCCAAAAGCAUUAUUUUUUUUAAUAUAGCCAGCUAAGUCUUCUCUACAGAAACAAAACUAAACAUGGACAAAACCAAGUUAUAUAUUCCCAGUUUAUUUUAUUUUUGUGGAAUGCUAAUUUAGUUACAAUCUGGCAGUUCAUAACUACUGAAAUGUGACAUUAAUUCAUAUCCAAUGUUGCAGAACUGUCUUGAUUUAUAUAGUUUUAAAACAAUCUUAUUUUACAAUAGUUGAGGUCUCUGGUGGUUUUUAAGCUCUGAUGCUUAAGCACACAGCAAGCUACAAACCUUAGGUUUUAUAUUUAUACAUAUAUUCUAUGUAUUCAGACAACUGCUGUAAGUUAUCUAUAAUUUAAUAUUUAUAAAAAGUGCAUAUACUGGUACAUAUGCACAUCUAGAAACACACUUUUACUACUGCCUCCCUUUUAUAAAAAGCUGCACAUCAUACAGCCAUAUUUAUCUCACUUACUGCUAUUAAAGUCCUUUACUAUCUUUGUUACACAAUUUCAACUAUCCAUUACCUCAAACUGAAUGUAGGUAUUUCUAUAUAUAUUUUUUCUCCUAAAGAAAAAAGUCCUCCCUAUUCCUUUAAGAAGCUUUAAAUCAUGCAUCAGUUUAGUAAACAGUCACUUUAGCAUGGAUUUUAGAAUCCUAGACAGUGUAAAAUCUACUUCUGGAAAACGUCUGUCUGUAUAUUUAAUUUCUU